rnacentral:rRNA from 1 species
CUACGGAGGAUGCAAGCGUUAUCCGGAUUUAUUGGGUUUAAAGGGUGCGUAGGCGGUUUGCUAAGCGGGAGGUGAAAUGCCGGCGCUCAACGUCGGAAGUGCCUCCCGAACUGGUGGACUUGAAUGACUCUGCCGUGGGAGGAAUGUGUAGUGUAGCGGUGAAAUGCUUAGAGAUUACACAGAACACCGAUUGCGAAGGCAUCUCACGAAGGGUUGAUUGACGCUGAGGCACGAAAGCGUGGGGAUCAAACAGGAUUAGAUACCCUGGUAGUCCACGCAGUAAACGAUGAUGGCUAACCGCUGGGCUUAUCAGUUCAGUGGCCAAGCGAAAGCGAUAAGCCAUCCACCUGGGGAGUACGACCGCAAGGUUGAAACUCAAAUGAAUUGGCGGGG